GCCAGGUGUGGUGGCUCACACCUGUAAUCCCAGCACUUUGGGAGGCCGAGGUGGGAGGAUCACCUGAGGUCAGGAGUUCGAGACCAGCCUGGCCAACAUGGAGAAACCCCAUCUCUA
rnacentral:SRP_RNA from 2 species